ensembl:snoRNA
AUCCUCCAGUUUGCUUUCCCAUUGGAUCCGAACACUAGUCUUGGGGUUGUAAAGGAGGAAAAGUAUUGCUGAAGCUGGCCUCACAGCCUUACAGUCUUGUAUAUAGCAUGUGGGCUAGUUUCAAACAGGG